GACGAACGCUGGCGGCGUGCUUAACACAUGCAAGUCGAACGGAAAGGCCCUGCUUUUGUGGGGUGCUCGAGUGGCGAACGGGUGAGUAACACGUGAGUAACCUGCCCUUGACUUUGGGAUAACUUCAGGAAACUGGGGCUAAUACCGGAUAGGAGCUCCUGCUGCAUGGUGGGGGUUGGAAAGUUUCGGCGGUUGGGGAUGGACUCGCGGCUUAUCAGCUUGUUGGUGGGGUAGUGGCUUACCAAGGCUUUGACGGGUAGCCGGCCUGAGAGGGUGACCGGGCCAAAUGGGGCCUGGGUUACGGCCCGGACUCCUAGGGGAGGAAGCGGUGGGGAUUAUGGCCCAAUGGCCGGAGGCCUGAUGCAGAACCGCGGCGUGCGGGAUAAGGGCCUUCGGGUUGUAAACCGCUUUGGCCUGUGACGAAGCGUGGGUGCCGGUAUUGGGUAAAGAAGCACCGGCUAACUACGU
rnacentral:rRNA from 1 species